AGAGUUUGAUCAUGGCUCAGAGCGAACGCUGGCGGCAGGCCUAACACAUGCAAGUCGAACGGAUCCUUCGGGAUUAGUGGCGGACGGGUGAGUAACACGUGGGAACGUGCCUUUUGGUUCGGAACAACUCAGGGAAACUUGAGCUAAUACCGGAUAAGCCUUUCGAGGGAAAGAUUUAUCGCCAUUAGAGCGGCCCGCGUAGGAUUAGCUAGUUGGUGGGGUAAAGGCCCACCAAGGCUACGAUCCUUAGCUGGUCUGAGAGGAUGAUCAGCCACAUUGGGACUGAGACACGGCCCAAACUCCUACGGGAGGCAGCAGUGGGGAAUCUUGCGCAAUGGGCGAAAGCCUGACGCAGCCAUGCCGCGUGAAUGAUGAAGGUCUUAGGAUUGUAAAAUUCUUUCACCGGGGACGAUAAUGACGGUACCCGGAGAAGAAGCCCCGGCUAACUUCGUGCCAGCAGCCGCGGUAAUACGAAGGGGGCUAGCGUUGCUCGGAAUUACUGGGCGUAAAGGGAGCGUAGGCGGAUAGUUUAGUCAGAGGUGAAAGCCCAGGGCUCAACCUUGGAAUUGCCUUUGAUACUGGCUAUCUUGAGUACGGAAGAGGUAUGUGGAACUCCGAGUGUAGAGGUGAAAUUCGUAGAUAUUCGGAAGAACACCAGUGGCGAAGGCGACAUACUGGUCCGUUACUGACGCUGAGGCUCGAAAGCGUGGGGAGCAAACAGGAUUAGAUACCCUAGUAGUCC
rnacentral:rRNA from 1 species